rnacentral:lncRNA from 1 species
AAGGGAGGAACACUGCCCAUUAUCCGGAUCAGGAAGCAGGGACUGGAAGAAUUCCCACAGACCAGAUUCUCUGCAAAACCUUGGGGCUUCCAUAGGCUACUUUGAUUUGAAGACAAAUCUGAGAUGAUUCCAUGAGACCAGCCACUUGCCCCACUCCACGUAGCUCAGUGACCCCAACGGAAUUUGUCCCUGAAGACCCUGCAGCUCCUGUUCUAUAUCUCAUCCAGGGCUAGCCGUCUUGGUUUCCGCUGUUGCUGUUGGCCCGAGUUGCUGGCACACGAUGGGAGCCGUGCCUUGAAAAGCAGCAGAGAUCAGAGGAAACCAAGUGGAGCUUUUGGAGCAACAGAGAAGACAGGUCUGCAGAGCAGAGGCGCUCUGAGGCCAACAGAAGGAAGGAAGAAACACGGGCUCCUCUGCCUCUGGGUCACAACCAGCUCACAAAUACCGGUUCAUUCACACACAUGCACACACUCACACACACUCAUACACGAUGGAAUCUCUUCCCUGAACCCCCACUGCCCUCCUCCUUCACCUCCUGCCCCCCCGACACACACACACACAAAGAAGCAAUCUGGUGCAGAAUAACGAUUCCAAAUUCAGAGGCUUGUGUGUAGCUUUGUUCCCACCUGAAGGAAGGACAGGGGGCAGCUAAGAAGUUACUUGGAGAACCGGACUAGGUGGUAUGGCACAAGGUCCUCGUGAGACACACACGUCAGCAGUGGUUCUUAACCCCUUUGAGCGUAUAAUUAUCACAAACGUCCCCCUGCCUGCCAAUCCUCGUCCCAGAGAAAUGUCCAGACACGUAACAUUUCUGUGCAAGAUCAGGCCCUUCUGAAGCCGAGAGCGGACCAUGGAUUACAGGUCCAGGAUCCCAGCUCUGGAGCAGUCAGUCCCCGCAAGCAGGAAGCAGAAUUGCCAAGCACACAGCCCGUCCCCCUUCAGCACUCCAGCACCCCUUGACUGG